CAGCCACUUAUAUCAUGGCUAUGACAUAGAUAAAAUGAAAAUGCAAUGUAAGUUUGGGACAAAGUUGGGAAAAUACCUAUUAUCACUAUUUCAGGUGAAAUAAAAACUGAAAUUUUUAUUUAUAUACUUGUCUAAAAAGCAGAGGGCUUCAGGAUUUUUUUUUCCUUUUACCAUUUUCAGAAGUUUCCUGAAAACUUCUCAAAGCGAAUAGUAGAAAAGGCUCAAGAAGGCAGGCAGGGAUGUGAGGGGAUGGAAGAGCUUUGCCUUACACUGUAUUGCUAAUACCAUGAAAGUCAGCUCAGAUGCCCUCAGACCUUAGUCCGUACCACAGAGGCAAAAAUAUAGGAAGAGUAUUUCUGUCUAUGCUUUAUGUCCAAAUUGCUGCCACUUAUCUGCACUGACUAACACAAUUCAGGAAAUUGGUCUGCAAGAGAAGUUUAAGCCAGAGCCCUCCCUGAGUGUCUAAGGGUCUCAGAUUUCUCAGGAGAUCUAAGAUAACACAUCCUGUUUUCUUUUCUUUUUUUUUCUUUAAGGCAGCUUGUAAAGCUCAACAAAAUAGGGAAAUAAAAUAGGGUUUGACUGUCACUCCCAACCUGCCACUAGAGAAGAACCCACUCAUCUGUUAGAAACAGAUGCCCUGAGGCCUGCAGCCAGGGACCCCGCCAGAAACAGAAAGUAUGAUUGCCAUUAUUUUGGAUGAGGUACUUACAACUGAGUCAUCCCUGUUAGCUGCUCACUACGUCACAACCCAAAUUUGAUAGCUUCAAAUGACAGCUGUAUCUCUUUUGCAGUGAGUUGUCUGGGUCACGUUUCUGCACAAGCCAUCUGGAGUACAUGAGUAGAUCAGUGCGUCAGAGGGAUCAGAGGGCCAGUUAUGCCGGAGAAUGACCUAAAAUCCAAGCAUGGCUGAUAUAUGAUCCCCAGACAACGAGCACAGACGAUGGCCACUGAGCCCAGCAACAGCAUUAUCUCAGCUUCCACUGGUCAAGAUCAAUGUAUUUUACCUACAGAAUGUUCUAUCAGCUUUCACUACACAAAGCACGGAUCUCCCCGUCUUCCAGGAAAGAAAAUUUGAUAUAAGUAGCUGAUAAACCAACAAGUCACCAAGUGAGUAAAUAUGUAAAGAGCCUCACUAGAGUAUGGAUCUGGACUAUCCUGUGCUCUACCUUGCUUCU
rnacentral:lncRNA from 1 species